rnacentral:lncRNA from 1 species
GCACACGCCUUUAAUCCCAGUGCUCUGGAGGCAGAGGCAGGCAGAUCUCUGAGUUCAAGGCCACCCUGGUCUACAGAGGGAGUUCCAGAACAGUCAGGACUACACAGAGAAACCCCGUCUUGAAGAAAAAAAAAAAAAAAAAAAAAAAAAAGGAAAAAGAAAAAAAAGAAAGAAGGAAGGAAAGAUGGGUUGGACUGGAUAGCAUUUUGACCUUUUCUUCAGGUUCUCAUUAGGCUGUUCCACUUCUUUUUGACAGGACCUCAGGAAAGUCAGAUGUAGGCAGUUAUCUGGAUCGCUGCCGGCCCCUGGAUUACCCCUAGCAACACUGGAGUCUAGGCCUACAUAAUAUCUAGUGGUCACUCUGUAAAAAGUCCACUUUAGCUUAUAAAUGAAUUAACUCAUUGAAUCCUAAGGACUCUAUGAAGUAGGCUUUUUUUGGUUUUUGAGAUGUGGCCUAAUGUACCCCAGGCAAUCUAAAGAUGACCUUAAACUCUGACCUUCCUGUCCCUUCUUCCCAAGUACUGAGAUUAUAGGUGUGUACUUCCCCACCCAGUUGAAGUAGAUAAUAUUUUGAUGCCAUUUUAUGGGUGAGAAAACUGAGUUCUGC